rnacentral:sRNA from 23 species
GAAACGCGAACCAAACAGCCAUGAGCGUGGCGCAAGGCUUGGAGCUGGAAGCCGCAAGGCUCCCAUGUC